rnacentral:rRNA from 1 species
ACGAACGCUGGCGGCGUGCCUAAUACAUGCAAGUCGAGCGAUUGGUGCUUGCACCAGAGCGGCGGACGGGUGAGUAACACGUGGGUAACCUGCCCAAGAGACUGGGAUAACACCUGGAAACAGAUGCUAAUACCGGAUAACAACACUGACGCAUGUCUAGAGUUAAAAGAUGUUCUUAUCACUCUUGGAUGGACCUGCGGUGCAUUAGCUAGUUGGUAAGGUAACGGCUUACCAAGGCAAUGAUGCAUAGCCGAGUUGAGAGACUGAUCGGCCACAUUGGGACUGAGACACGGCCCAAACUCCUACGGGAGGCAGCAGUAGGGAAUCUUCCACAAUGGACGCAAGUCUGAUGGAGCAACGCCGCGUGAGUGAAGAAGGGUUUCGGCUCGUAAAGCUCUGUUGGUAGUGAAGAAAGAUAGAGGUGUAAGCCUUUAUUUGACGGUAAUUACUUAGAAAGUCACGGCUAACUACGUGCCAGCAGCCGCGGUAAUACGUAGGUGGCAAGCGUUGUCCGGAUUUAUUGGCGUAAAGCGAGUGCAGGCGGUUCAAUAAGUCUGAUGUGAAAGCCUUCGGCUCAACCGGAGAAUUGCAUCAGAAACUGUUGAACUUGAGUGCAGAAGAGGAGAGUGGAACUCCAUGUGUAGCGGUGGAAUGCGUAGAUAUAUGGAAGAACACCAGUGGCGAAGGCGGCUCUCUGGUCUGCAACUGACGCUGAGGCUCGAAAGCAUGGGUAGCGAACAGGAUUAGAUACCCUGGUAGUCCAUGCCGUAAACGAUGAGUGCUAAGUGUUGGGAGGUUUCCCCUCUCAGUGCUGCAGCUAACGCAUUAAGCACUCCGCCUGGGGAGUACGACCGCAAGGUUGAAACUCAAAGGAAUUGACGGGGGCCCGCACAAGCGGUGGAGCAUGUGGUUUAAUUCGAAGCAACGCGAAGAACCUUACCAGGUCUUGACAUCCAGUGCAAACCUAAGAGAUUAGGUGUUCCCUUCGGGGACGCUGAGACAGGUGGUGCAUGGCUGUCGUCAGCUCGUGUCGUGAGAUGUUGGGUUAAGUCCCGCAACGAGCGCAACCCUUGUCAUUAGUUGCCAUCAUUAAGUUGGGCACUCUAAUGAGACUGCCGGUGACAAACCGGAGGAAAGUGGGGAUGACGUCAAGUCAUCAUGCCCCUUAUGACCUGGGCUACACACGUGCUACAAUGGACGGUACAACGAGAAGCGAACCUGCGAAGGCAAGCGGAUCUCUGAAAGCCGUUCUCAGUUCGGACUGUAGGCUGCAACUCGCCUACACGAAGCUGGAAUCGCUAGUAAUCGCGGAUCAGCACGCCGCGGUGAAUACGUUCCCGGGCCUUGCACACACCGCCCGUCAAGC